AAGAUACUCCCUCCGUCCCAAAAUUCUUAUCAUAGAGUUGUGUAAACAGGGAUGUAUUAGUCACAUUUUAGUGUUAGAUGCAUCCAUAUCUAGACAAAUCUAAGACAAAAAUUUUGGGACGUAGGUAAUACACA
rfam:Triticum urartu cultivar G1812 contig245333, whole genome shotgun sequence.